UAGCUAGUUGGUGAGGUAAAGGCUUACCAAGGCGACGAUCUGUAGCGGGUCUGAGAGGAUGAUCCGCCACACUGGAACUGAGACACGGUCCAGACUCCUACGGGAGGCAGCAGUGGGGAAUUUUGGACAAUGGGGGCAACCCUGAUCCAGCCAUGCCGCGUGAGUGAAGAAGGCCUUCGGGUUGUAAAGCUCUUUCGGCCGGGAAGAAAUCGCAUGGGCCAAUACCCUGUGUGGAUGACGGUACCGGAAUAAGAAGCACCGGCUAACUACGUGCCAGCAGCCGCGGUAAUACGUAGGGUGCGAGCGUUAAUCGGAAUUACUGGGCGUAAAGCGUGCGCAGGCGGUUUUGUAAGACAGGCGUGAAAUCCCCGGGCUUAACCUGGGAACUGCGUUUGUGACUGCAAGGCUAGAGUACGGCAGAGGGGGGUGGAAUUCCACGUGUAGCAGUGAAAUGCGUAGAGAUGUGGAGGAACACCAAUGGCGAAGGCAGCCCCCUGGGUCGAUACUGACGCUCAUGCACGAAAGCGUGGGUAGCAAACAGGAUUAGAUACCCUGGUAGUCCACGCCCUAAACUAUGUCAACUAGGUGUUGGGUGGGUAAAACCAUUUAGUACCGUAGCUAACGCGUGAAGUUGACCGCCUGGGGAGUACGGCCGCAAGGUUAAAACUCAAAGGAAUUGACGGGGACCCGCACAAGCGGUGGAUGAUGUGGAUUAAUUCGAUGCAACGCGAAAAACCUUACCUACCCUUGACAUGCCAGGAACUUGCCAGAGAUGGCUUGGUGCCCGAAAGGGAGCCUGGACACAGGUGCUGCAUGGCUGUCGUCAGCUCGUGUCGUGAGAUGUUGGGUUAAGUCCCGCAACGAGCGCAACCCUUGUCGUUAAUUGCCAUCAUUUGGUUGGGCACUUUAACGAGACUGCCGGUGACAAACCGGAGGAAGGUGGGGAUGACGUCAAGUCCUCAUGGCCCUUAUGGGUAGGGCUUCACACGUCAUACAAUGGUCGGUACAAAGGGUUGCCAAGCCGCGAGGCGGAGCCAAUCCCAGAAAGCCGAUCGUAGUCCGGAUUGCAGGCUGCAACUCGCCUGCAUGAAGUCGGAAUCGCUAGUAAUCGUGGAUCAGCAUGUCACGGUGAAUACGUUCCCGGGUCUUGUACACACCGCCCGUCACACCAUGGGAGCGGGUUCCGCCAGAAGUAGGUAGCCUAACCGCAAGGGGGGCGCUUACCACGGCGGGGUUCGUGACUGGGGUGAAGUCGUAACAAGGUAGCCGUAGGGGAACCUGCGGCUG
rnacentral:rRNA from 1 species